AAAUUGAAGAGUUUGAUCAUGGCUCAGAUUGAACGCUGGCGGCAGGCCUAACACAUGCAAGUCGAACGGUAACAGGAAGCAGCUUGCUGCUUCGCUGACGAGUGGCGGACGGGUGAGUAAUGUCUGGGAAACUGCCUGAUGGAGGGGGAUAACUACUGGAAACGGUGGCUAAUACCGCAUAACGUCGCAAGACCAAAGAGGGGGACCUUCGGGCCUCUUGCCAUCAGAUGUGCCCAGAUGGGAUUAGCUAGUUGGUGAGGUAACGGCUCACCAAGGCGACGAUCCCUAGCUGGUCUGAGAGGAUGACCAGCCACACUGGAACUGAGACACGGUCCAGACUCCUACGGGAGGCAGCAGUGGGGAAUAUUGCACAAUGGGCGCAAGCCUGAUGCAGCCAUGCCGCGUGUAUGAAGAAGGCCUUCGGGUUGUAAAGUACUUUCAGCGGGGAGGAAGGUGUUGUGGUUAAUAACCACAGCAAUUGACGUUACCCGCAGAAGAAGCACCGGCUAACUCCGUGCCAGCAGCCGCGGUAAUACGGAGGGUGCAAGCGUUAAUCGGAAUUACUGGGCGUAAAGCGCACGCAGGCGGUCUGUCAAGUCGGAUGUGAAAUCCCCGGGCUCAACCUGGGAACUGCAUUCGAAACUGGCAGGCUUGAGUCUUGUAGAGGGGGGUAGAAUUCCAGGUGUAGCGGUGAAAUGCGUAGAGAUCUGGAGGAAUACCGGUGGCGAAGGCGGCCCCCUGGACAAAGACUGACGCUCAGGUGCGAAAGCGUGGGGAGCAAACAGGAUUAGAUACCCUGGUAGUCCACGCCGUAAACGAUGUCUACUUGGAGGUUGUGCCCUUGAGGCGUGGCUUCCGGAGCUAACGCGUUAAGUAGACCGCCUGGGGAGUACGGCCGCAAGGUUAAAACUCAAAUGAAUUGACGGGGGCCCGCACAAGCGGUGGAGCAUGUGGUUUAAUUCGAUGCAACGCGAAGAACCUUACCUGGUCUUGACAUCCACAGAACUUUCCAGAGAUGGAUUGGUGCCUUCGGGAACUGUGAGACAGGUGCUGCAUGGCUGUCGUCAGCUCGUGUUGUGAAAUGUUGGGUUAAGUCCCGCAACGAGCGCAACCCUUAUCCUUUGUUGCCAGCGAUUAGGUCGGGAACUCAAAGGAGACUGCCAGUGAUAAACUGGAGGAAGGUGGGGAUGACGUCAAGUCAUCAUGGCCCUUACGACCAGGGCUACACACGUGCUACAAUGGCGCAUACAAAGAGAAGCGACCUCGCGAGAGCAAGCGGACCUCAUAAAGUGCGUCGUAGUCCGGAUUGGAGUCUGCAACUCGACUCCAUGAAGUCGGAAUCGCUAGUAAUCGUGGAUCAGAAUGCCACGGUGAAUACGUUCCCGGGCCUUGUACACACCGCCCGUCACACCAUGGGAGUGGGUUGCAAAAGAAGUAGGUAGCUUAACCUUCGGGAGGGCGCUUACCACUUUGUGAUUCAUGACUGGGGUGAAGUCGUAACAAGGUAACCGUAGGGGAACCUGCGGUUGGAUCACCUCCUUACCUGAAAGAAGC
rnacentral:rRNA from 1 species